UGGGGCAGGCUAAUCCGCCCAGGGUAAGUCGGGACCUAAGGCGAGGCCGACAGGCGUAGUCGAUGGACAACGGGUUGAUAUUCCCGUACCCGCUGGUAUGCGCCAACGCUGAACCCUCUGAUGCUAACCACCCGAACCGGGUUGUGGGCCUUCGGGCCUGCUGGCCGGGGAGCGUGGGACCCGAGGGGGUAGUAGGUGAGUGAUGGGGUGACGCAGGAGGGUAGCUCAGCCCGGGCGAUGGUUGUCCCGGGGUAAGGCUGUAGGGAGAGAGAUAGGUAAAUCCGUCUCUCACGUAUCCUGAGAGCUGAUGCCGAGCCGUUUUAGGUGAAGUGAGUGAUCCCAUGCUGCCGAGAAAAGCCUCUAGCGAGUGUACCGGCGGCCCGUACCCUAAACCGACUCAGGUGGUCAGGUAGAGAAUACCAAGGCGAUCGGGUGAACUGUGGUUAAGGAACUCGGCAAAUUGCCCCCGUAACUUUGGGAGAAGGGGGACCACGCCCGGUGAUGGAGUUUUCCUCCGGAGCUGGGUGGGGUCGCAGAGGCCAGGGGGAAGCGACUGUUUACUAAAAACACAGGUCCGUGCGAAGUCGUAAGACGCGGUAUACGGACUGACGCCUGCCCGGUGCCGGAACGUUAAGAGGACCGGUUACACCCUUCACGGGUGGACGCUGAGAAUCUAAGCGCCGGUAAACGGCGGUGGUAACUAUAACCAUCCUAAGGUAGCGAAAUUCCUUGUCGGGUAAGUUCCGACCUGCACGAAUGGCGUAACGACUUCCCCGCUGUCUCAACCACAG
rnacentral:rRNA from 1 species